rnacentral:tRNA from 1 species
AUGUAUAGCUCAGUGGUUAGAGCGCUGAGCUAGCGGCUCAGAUAUUCGGGGUUCAAGUCCUGUCAUG